GGAUUAGAUACCCUGGUAGUCCACGCCGUAAACGAUGAUGACUAGGUGUUGGAGGAAUUGAUCCCUUCAGUACCGUAGUUCACAUGAUAAGUCAUCCGCCUGGGGAGUACGGCCGCAAGGCUAAAACUCAAAGGAAUUGACGGGGGCCCGCACAAGAGGUGGAGUAUGUGGUUUAAUUCGAAGCAACGCGCAGAACCUUACCUGGGUUUGACAUUUCUUGAAGUGUGCAGAAAUGCAUAGAUAGUCGCAAGACACAAGAGAACAGGUGCUGCAUGGCUGUCGUCAGCUCGUGCCG
rnacentral:rRNA from 1 species